GUCUAUGGCCAUGCCACCCUGAACAAGCCCGAUCCCGUCUGAUCUCAGAAGCUAAGCAGGGUCGGGCCUGGUUAGUACUUGGAUGGGAGACCACCUAGGAAGACCAGGUGCUGUAGGUG
rnacentral:rRNA from 1 species